UUUUAUGGAGAGUUUGAUCCUGGCUCAGGAUGAACGCUGGCGGCGUGCCUAAUACAUGCAAGUCGAGCGAACGGACGAGAAGCUUGCUUCUCUGAUGUUAGCGGCGGACGGGUGAGUAACACGUGGAUAACCUACCUAUAAGACUGGGAUAACUUCGGGAAACCGGAGCUAAUACCGGAUAAUAUUUUGAACCGCAUGGUUCAAAAGGGAAAGACGGUCUUGCUGUCACUUAUAGAUGGAUCCGCGCUGCAUUAGCUAGUUGGUAAGGUAACGGCUUACCAAGGCAACGAUGCAUAGCCGACCUGAGAGGGUGAUCGGCCACACUGGAACUGAGACACGGUCCAGACUCCUACGGGAGGCAGCAGUAGGGAAUCUUCCGCAAUGGGCGAAAGCCUGACGGAGCAACGCCGCGUGAGUGAUGAAGGUCUUCGGAUCGUAAAACUCUGUUAUUAGGGAAGAACAUAUGUGUAAGUAACUGUGCACAUCUUGACGGUACCUAAUCAGAAAGCCACGGCUAACUACGUGCCAGCAGCCGCGGUAAUACGUAGGUGGCAAGCGUUAUCCGGAAUUAUUGGGCGUAAAGCGCGCGUAGGCGGUUUUUUAAGUCUGAUGUGAAAGCCCACGGCUCAACCGUGGAGGGUCAUUGGAAACUGGAAAACUUGAGUGCAGAAGAGGAAAGUGGAAUUCCAUGUGUAGCGGUGAAAUGCGCAGAGAUAUGGAGGAACACCAGUGGCGAAGGCGACUUUCUGGUCUGUAACUGACGCUGAUGUGCGAAAGCGUGGGGAUCAAACAGGAUUAGAU
rnacentral:rRNA from 1 species